GCCAAACGCAGUAAAAAAAAAAAAAAUAGCCAUUUAAUUCAUUGUAAAAACAAUGGACAUGCCAGUUCAAGUAACUUGUGGGCUAAAUCACCAAAAUAAGUUUGUAGAUGUGGUUCAAUUAUUUUUAAUGUGCAGCAUAAUGAAUCAGCCUGAAUGCAUGUAGCCUAUGAACAUAUUGUUUAGACUUUAUUUUUAAACCUUUAUCUGGUGUAUGGUUAAACCUUAUGAUGGUAGCAAUUGAAUACAAAUCUUAAACUGAAUCAAAUCUCUUAUAAUAAUACAUAAAAUCUCUGGGACGGUUGGGGGUACAUCAGGGUAACAUUUAAGCAGCUUAAUUUUUUUAAUUCUUUUAUAUAUUUUGAUGUGUAUAUAUAUAUAUUUACUUUCUUUAUUUUGUUUUCUCAGCUUUUAAACAUCUAAACAUGUCCUCCAAAAAGGUUUCCUGUGCUGUUUUGCUCCAUUUUACUGAACAAAAUAAGGCUGAGGUAGCACCAUCCUUGUGGUUAGAGUGAAAGAAUGUGGGUAUUGAGACCAAAAUAAACAAUGUGCCAUUCUGGACAAACAGCUGUGGACAAUAUGCAGUCAGAGUAGCCCAUUUUCUCACACAGACCUGAGGAUAAGAUUUCCAGUUUAAAAGUGAAGAAAAUGAAUCAUUAUUAACAGCAAAUAGGAGUAUUUCUCAGCUGAAAAGCCAGGUGAAACUAUAAGGUCACUAUGAUUCACUUUCAUAUUAUCAUUCUUUUCAGAUUUUUUUCCCUGUGUUUUUUUUGUUAGAUGAGGAGCAACCAGUAAGAAAAAGCAAAAAGAUGUUUUGAUGUUGCCUGAGGCACCUUAUUUUCCAUUUCAUGCACAAUCACAAAUGCAGCACAUCAAUCAAUUUCUUCCAACCAGCGAAUCAAGAAAUCUUGGAGUGGAGAAUCAUUCUGAAAGUAGACCAAAUCCAGGACAACAUCACAACAGUGGUCGGAAAAAUGCAGCAAGCCAAGCUGACUUUCAAAAGAUGAUUCGUUAUCUGUUUCUUCAGAGGGGAGGCAGUUUGGGAGAUGGGAAUUAGGAGGAUGCUACAGUUACACAGGGCAAAUUUCAGCAGCUCAGUUUCAAACUUGCAACUAACAUUGAGUUAAACUGGUCAGGGUGGAAGACCAGCUGACGUACCAGUUUUGCCAGGUUAAAGGACCAGCUUAAACCAGCUAAGACAGCCAACCAACUUAGCCAAGGUGGUAUAUGCUGGUGGGUCAGCUGGUCUUCCCGCCUGACCAGCUAAGACCAGCUACAAAGUGGCCAAAACCUCUGUAAAACAAUCCUGCUACACCAGCCUGACCAGCUGAAACCAUACUGGGAGUUAGAAGACCACGGAAAUAUUUGACAUCGGAGUCCAGCAGACAGCCAGAGACACGCACACACACGCAGCUGAAGCGCGUUUGACUGACGCGUACGGGAGAUCCGGCACGCGCACGGGAGCUCGCGCACGCUCACACAAACACGGAGCACAGGAUAAUUACAACUGUUUAAUUAAAAUAAAAGAACUUUGUGGUAUACAA